GACGAACGCUGGCGGCGUGCUUAACACAUGCAAGUCGAACGGAAAGGCCCUGCUUUUGUGGGGUGCUCGAGUGGCGAACGUGUGAGUAACACGUGAGUAACCUGCCCUUUACUUUGGGAUAACUUGAGGAAACUGGGGCUAAUACCUGAUAGGAGCUCCUGCUGCAUGGUGGGGGUUGGACAGUUUCGGCGGAUGGGGAUGGACUCGCGGCUUAUCAGCUUGUUGGUGGGGUAGUGGCUUACCAAGGCUUCGACGGGUAGCCGGCCUGAGAGGGUGACCGGCCACAUUGGGACUGAGAGACGGCCCAGACGCCAACGGGGGGCAGCGGUGGGGAAUAUUGCACAAUGGGCGGAAGCCUGAUGCAGCAACGCCGCGUGCGGGAUGACGGCCUUCGGGUGGUAAACCGCUUUCGCCUGUGACGAAGCGUGAGUGACGGUAAUGGGUAAAGAAGCACCGGCUAACUACGUG
rnacentral:rRNA from 1 species